GGUCUGCUGCGGCUCGCGUCGGAGGCACAAAUCCCGGGGACCUUAAUCACCUCUGACGGGAGCUGUCCCUGCCUUGGCUCGUGGGCCGGGGCACACGGCGCCCACCUGGUUAUCCAGGUCCGAGGGGAUUUACCGCCCUCCACGGCUCUCGCGGCGCCGC
rnacentral:other from 1 species